rnacentral:rRNA from 1 species
AUGGCUGCCCUGCUCCUCCCCCCAGCUUUGAUCAGAGAGCUGGAUGCCAUGCGGAGGGACUUUCUAUGGAAUGUUGCUGAGAGAGCCUCGGGAGCACAAUGCUUGGUUGCCUGGGACAGGGUUUGCCGCGCGAAAAAUGAAGGAGGGCUGGGGGUUCGCAGCCUUGCAGCCCAAAAUGAAUGCCUCUUGCUGAAAAUGGUUCAUAGACCUCAUGUUGCUCAACGAUCGCGGUGGGCGGCUUGGGUCUGGGCGGAGGCAAAUGGGCGAUCGCUGCUGGGCAAUGGUGACCGUGCCCUGGGAGAGCAGGGAGUGGUCCUAGCCAGGCUAAUCCCCCUGUACCGCGCGCUCUCUUCGGUGGAAGUGACGGUCUGGCAAGUUCGAGCCGAUGGGCUCCGCCAAUACCUUGUGCUGCGCCUCACGCGGGGCGGGGAGCAGGAAUUAGCUGUGGUCUCAACCAUGAUCUCAACCGCGCCGGUCCGAGGCGGGGAGGACGAGCGGUCUCUCAUCCACAUCGCCGCCCCAGGUGGGCGCCUGUCGUCUGCCAAAGCAUACCGGCUGCUGAGGUUCGGCGGGAGGACCUUACAUUGGGCGAAGUUCAUCUGGGAUGCGCGGGUGCCGUUCAGAGUCAAAUUCUUCUGUUGGCUGAUGGCGCAGCGACGCAUUCACACCAGAGACGUGCUGCUGAAGAAGCACAUUGUCGAAGCUGAUGGGGCCGGGUGUCCAAUCUGUGAAAGGGAGCCGGAGAGCGCGGACCAUCUGGUCUUCUCCUGCCCGUUCGCAGCGGCUUUCUGGAGACAUGUUGGCAUCGAGGUCAAUGCCGCAGCGGUUAACGCCUUGGAUCUGCUGGCUUCUUCGGCGAGCUCAGUUGUCAGCUCUGCCCGAGAUUUCACCAUGCUCUGUUGUUGGCACUUGUGGAAACAUAGGAAUGCGGUGGUAUUCCAAGGGCAGCGGCCCUCUCUCGCUCGGUUGCUGCGGGGCUGCCGGGAAGACGCUCUCUUGUGGCGUGGGCGCCUGAAAACGGAUGCCCGGGGCCAUGUUGAUACUUGGUUAAUGGCCCUGGAGUAG